AUACGGAGGGUGCAAGCGUUAAUCGGAAUUACUGGGCGUAAAGCGCGCGUAGGCGGAUAUUUAAGUCUCAUGUGAAAGCCCUGGGCUCAACCUGGGAACUGCAUGGGAUACUGGGUAUCUAGAAUACAGUAGAGGGUAGUGGAAUUUCAGGUGUAGCGGUGAAAUGCGUAGAGAUCUGAAGGAACAUCAGCGGCGAAGGCGACUACCUGGACUGAUAUUGACGCUGAGGUGCGAAAGCGUGGGGAGCAAACGGGAUUAGAAACCCUAGUAGUCC
rnacentral:rRNA from 1 species